UCACAUUGCCUCCUUUCAAAACCUAGUCUAUUUUUCUUUCUUGUAAUUUUCUAUCAACUAUUUCUUUCUCUCAUCCUUUUGUGCUACCCCAUACCUUACCUCCUUCUAUCUUUUUCUUUUCCUUUUCCUUUCUUUCUUUUGCUUGUGCACCAUCCUCCACCACCUUGAACCACUAUCGCCACCACCUUGCACCGUCGCCUCCAUAACAUCUGCACAUUGUCACCCUUCCUUUUUCGCCACCUCCCAUGCCGUAGCUCUCUCUCUAUUCUUCUUGUUCCUCUCAUCCUUUUAUUUUAUUCCAUUCAAUCAUCAUAUUUUCUGCUUGGUUAUUGUCGAAUCAUCUCUGUGCUCAGAUCUCUACUAAAUUUUUUGUUUCUGACCUAUAAGUAAUAAGUGUAAUUGUUUUUCAUGAGUAGAUCUUGUGUUCGAAUGUGUGACCAUACCUUUUUUUCUUUUUUUCAUGAGCAGAUCUCGUGUUCGAAUGUGCGACCAUAUCUUUUUUCUUUCUUUUCAAAUAUGUUAAUCAAUUAUAUAGGUUCCUUUUCAGAUCUAUCAAUGGUCGAAUCUAAUUGUGUGUUUUUGUGUGUGUUUAACGUUCGAGGUGCAAAUCUGGACGCGUCAGACCAGAUAUGAUUUAUAGGAGUGUUUUUGUUUCAAAUAUGUACAUCGAACAAAAGAUGCAUAAGGAUCAGGAUGAUAUGGAAGGAGGAAGUUCUGACAGCUUAUCUACAAUUCUAGUGGUUUAUCCACAUAUUUCUAGCAGUUUAUCUGCAAAUAAGGGUGGCUUUUCCACAAUGCGGUGUCUAGGAAUGGAUGAAUUCUGAGGCACUCUUAUUGUGGUGAAUAGCAGUUGAUGGAGAAUCCACGAGGUUAGGAUUUGAACUCAACAUACGAAGGAGCAUCUCGAACUUUUAUUUUAUUUUAAAAAUUACUUUUACUUUAAUUUAAUAAUUUCUAUUUGGGGACUGUAAUAAUUUAUUUGGACUGUGGCAUAAGUUAUUUUUUGGUUGGUUUUAAAUUACAUUACAUGCAAAUAUGUUUGAAACUGAACAAACUUAUAAUUAUGCUUAAAAAAGCAUGAAACCUGGUUGAAAUAUAAAAUUAGUUAAAAA